rnacentral:rRNA from 1 species
UGGGGAAUAUUGCACAAUGGGCGCAAGCCUGAUGCAGCCAUGCCGCGUGUGUGAAGAAGGCCUUCGGGUUGUAAAGCACUUUCAGCGGGGAGGAAGGCGAUAAGGUUAAUAACCUUGUCGACUGACGUUACCCGCAGAAGAAGCACCGGCUAACUCCGUGCCAGCAGCCGCGGUAAUACGGAGGGUGCAAGCGUUAAUCGGAAUUACUGGGCGUAAAGCGCACGCAGGCGGUCUGUCAAGUCGGAUGUGAAAUCCCCGGGCUCAACCUGGGAACUGCAUUCGAAACUGGCAGGCUAGAGUCUUGUAGAGGGGGGUAGAAUUCCAGGUGUAGCGAUGAAAUGCGUAGAGAUCUGGAGGAAUACCGGUGGCGAAGGCGGCCCCCUGGACAAAGACUGACGCUCAGGUGCGAAAGCGUGGGGAGCAAACAGG